GGUCACGUGCUGCCGCCGUCUUCGGCUUGCGGACAAAUGCGGGGCGGCUGCAGAGCUGGUCUGGGAGGAGUGUUUUGCGGCUCGCAGAGGCGCGCUUUACUUCCACAUCGGGGAGACCGAAAAGAAGUGCUUUAUUGAGGAGAUUCCGGACGAGACCAUGGUUAUAGGAAACUAGCGGACGCAGCUGUAUGACAAGCAGCGGGAGGAAUACCAGCCGGCCACCCCCGGCCUUGGCAUGUUCGUGGAGGUGAAGGACCCAGAGGACAAGGUGAGCCGGCCCCUGAGCCCCGCCGAGCCCUCCGCUCUGCCUUUCCCCGCCAGACCCGGCAGGUGCUGGUUCUUCCCCCUCCUGCUCGCCGCAGCCGCUCCACUGCCGAGCAUAGCUGGGUGCUGGGGAGAAAAUCCGGAUUUGCGCUCGAGGCCACAGUUGGGCCGCUGCGGGGCUGGCUCGCGGCUCCUCUCAGCUUCUUCCCGACUGCUGCCCGACUCGGCCGAGCCGCUUCCCCGCCCCGAGCCGCCGCGGUUUUCCUGGCCUGUGAGAUGGAAACUCACCUGUCUGGUAGGCGUGGCUGGUGGAUUAAUUGUGGUGCUGGCCGUCAGAGAAUUCCGGUCACUGUGAUGCUGUGACGUCUAGACUUGAGGAUUUCCCAGAACGGGGUGUUUCCCAAAACGAGUGAGCAGCUUUUAAUUUCGACAAGUAAGGAUAUUAAAGCCAAAGAAAAACAAAAA